rnacentral:SRP_RNA from 1 species
CCGUGCUAGAUGGGGAGCUAGCGGUGCCCUGAACCCGCAAUCCGCUAUAGCGGGGUUGAACUCCCACCCGAGGUCCGCGAUCUCCGGGCGAUCGGUCCAGGGUUGGGGCGGUGAGGGCCGGGUCCUGUGCAAGGGGGAUCCGUGAACCCCGUCAGGUCCGGAAGGAAGCAGCGGUAAGCGGUGCGCCUCCUGUGCCGCGGGGGUGCUCGGCCGGAGCCUUCGCUCCUGGGGAAGAGCCGGGAGGAGGGAUCGAUGGUGGGUGCACGG